UCAACUGUGUAGAAAAAUUCCCUUUUUUUCUGCAUCCUCUCCAGCAUGGGUUAUUUUUUGUCUUUCUGAUAAUAACCAUCCUAACUGGGGUGAGCAAAUAGCUCAUUGUGGUUUUGACUUCCAUUUCCCUGAAGAUUAGUGAGGUUGAGCAUUUAAAAUAUAUAUUUGA